GAUUUCUGGUUGUUCGCCUUCCGUCGUCCACGGUUUCGUGUGUCAGUGCGGGACGGUGACGGCCAUCCUUGCCGGCUGAUGCGGGUGGGCUUCAUUGCUUGCCACAUCGACCGACAUCGGUUACUUUGAAAAAAUUAGAGUGUUUCAAGCAGGCUCAAUGCUAUGAAUACAUUAGCAUGGAAUAAUAAGUUAGGACUUCGGUUCUAGUUUGUUGGUUUAUUGAACUGAAGUAAUGAUUGAUAGGGACAGUUGGGGGUGCUAGUAUUCAGCGGCCAGAGGUGAAAUUCUUGGAUUCGCUGAAGACUCACUUAUGCGAAAGCAUU
rnacentral:rRNA from 1 species